AUGGGAAUCAUCCAGGGAUCUUGUUACAAAGCAGAAUUAAGUUCAGCAAGUCUAGGGUGGGGCCUGAUAUUCUGCCUUUCUAUCAAUCUCCCAGGGGAUGUGCAC
rnacentral:pre_miRNA from 1 species